UCCAGCAGCCGCGGUAAUACGUUCCCGGGUCUCGUACACACCGCCCGUCACACCACGAGAGUUUACAACACCCGAAGUCGGUGAGGUAACUUGCAAAGGAGCCAGCCGCCGAAGGUGGGGUAGAUGAUUGGGGCGAAGUCGUAACAAGGUACGCCGUAUCGGAAGGUGCGGCUGGAUCACCUCCUUUCUAUGGAGAAUCGCUUCCUGCAACGGAAGCAUUCAGUCCCGCUUCUCUCUCGGGAGUUAAAAAUGAGAGACUCACUUACAUGUUCGGUUUUGAGAGAGGUAACUCUUUCAAUUUGCAAGAUUUGUCCUUUGAAAACUGGAUACCGCAACGAUAAAUUCGCGUCUUCGAAUAUUUCUUUCUUCUCCACCGCUGCUUGUCAGCGAGGGUGUAUGAAGAAAUGAUUCAUAAAAUUGAAGAGCGAAGUGAUGACGAUGUGAACGACUUUCGCCUUUGCGUAAGCAAACCGAGGGUAGAGAACAGCGACAUCACGAAGCCACUUGGCUAAGCAAGUAAGAGCGCACGGUGGAUACCUAGGCACACAGAGA
rnacentral:sRNA from 1 species